UGAAGGAAAGAUAAUUCGUGUCUGCAUAGCGCUUUACAGGCUGUAAACGGCUUUUGCAGCCGUUGCUUUGUAUUUCUCACAGCCAUUUCUUUCGAGGUAGGUGCUCUGAUGAUCUCCACGUUAAAGACGAAGAAGCUGAGGCUCGGAGACAGGGCCUGUUUCCUCAGAUGGAAGCACAACACUUAAAAACUGAAAACUGAACAUCCAAGAAAUUGGGGCCAAGGGUCUCCAUGAAACCCAACAAGUGAAAAGAAAUUAAAAACAUGUUCCAGCUAAAGUCUAAAUUAUGGCUACCAGUACUGUUAACUGGCAUAUAACUUUACCUAGUGUAAUAUAUUCAAUUUUGGAGAAGCAUUGAACUCGCCCUUUCUUUCAACAUGGCUUCUUGCUCCCUGGGAGGUACUAGGAGACAGAGCAAGGAUGCCACGGCUGGCAUCGGGACCAUGUUGGUCACAUCACACGGCCAGAAAGGGAAGGUGUGAACUGCAGCGGAAGUUACAGUGCCUGAGACACUUUGUUUUUAAAUGCUGACAUGCAGAACAAAACAGUUGAAAAUUACUUGGUAGGAGCAUUCACAGCUAGGUAACAAAUAAAACUCGUAUCUUGUGCAUGCUAGGAGUGAAAAGGCCCUCGAGAAAAGGAACAAAAGCCAAACUC